UAUGUUUAAAUUGCAUGUUUCCAUUUUUUGUAACUACUUUGUUUUUCAGGUAUAUUCAGCAGAAUCACUCAAACCUUUCCAGGUUUUCUUAUUGGGAAUUGCUUUCUACAUUAAAAAACAAAAUAAAAAUUUAUAGUUAAGAUCUGGGACCCUUGAGGUUUUGUGAAGAGGGCCUUUUCACUACCCUGUAAUGUUGAGCUUAUCCUAGAUGGGGGCUGCUCUGUGUAUGCAUGUAUAUGGAUAUAGAUGUUGAUGUCCCAAGGAAGGUUACUAACAGUUGAAAUGUAGAGUCAUAACUGGCUUGGGAGUACUUGCUGGCUGUAUUUCUUUCCCAGUUGGGAAUUUCAAGAAACUGAGGCAAGACGUUAAUGGUACAGAGAGGUAUGUGGCUGCUGCAUCUGACUUGGAGACCUGUCAGGAGAGAGGUACACUAAAAGGAGACAGAAAAGAAGACAGUGAUGAGAGAUGUGCAGUUACCCUGAGUAGGGAAUGUGGGAAGGGUCUGAGUGAAAGGAGAGGAAUUAAGAGAUGUAUCCCUUUUAAGACCUAGUGCACACAAACAUGUAAAACCUACCAUGAAUAUUCAGAUGAGGACUGCAUGUUUAUAUGGUGAUAAUGUUUACUUCUGGGAUUUUUUUUUUUUUUAGUCAUUAAUCUCUUGCAUAUUGAUAUGUCUGAAGUGAGAUAUUUUCUUACUAUUUCAUAAACAUCUUUCCAUAUUUUAGAUGUGGUUUUCCAGAUUUUAGGUUGAUAUUCCUAUAAAUUGAAACUACUAACUGAAUGUCCCAUUGUGGGGCUUUGUAUUUUUUAGAAAACAGUAAAAUGAAUAAGAUAGUAGUAUUAAUUAUAGUCAUCAAACUGCUGUCUAAGCCAUAAUUUUGUAUGGACUAUAAUCUUAUUGCCCACUGUUUGUGAUGUUGAAACAAAUAGAUCCAAAAUGUAAUGACUUCACAGGACAAAUUUAUUUCUUGCUUUGUAACGGUCCAGGCAAGUGUUCAGUUGUCUGGGAUGCACUCCUCCACAUAGUCACUUAGGGGUCUAGGUGAAGUCGCUUCUAGGUAUCUCUCCAGUCUUCUGGAAGGGGGAAAGCAUGGAAGAAGAUGAGUGGGAAGUUGUUAUGGACAAGUCUGGAAAUUGCAAGCUCCUCCAGUGAUGAUGGUCUACCAAAAUCUAAACUUCCUUUUUUUUUAAGGGGCUUAGCUACAUUUCCCAGGCUUUUCUGGAUGCAAAAUUUUAACAGUUGAAUUAUGUAUAUACAUUUUUGGGCAUUACCUUACUUGCAUCUUUUGUUAUCUGCGACUACAAUAAUUGAUUUAUCCAGCAUCAUAAGAAAUGAAGCUUUCCAGCAUACUUUACUUUUUUGGAUAUCAGACAUGUUAUAACUUUGUCAAAACUUUACAUUUUAAGCAAUUUUUUCAAAGAAAGAUUUCCAAAAUUUUGUUGCGUCAGACAAAAUAUGUUAUUUUUAAUGACCUGUACUCAACUUUACGUACCUUGGUUAUUGUAUUGAACCAGAAUACAAUUGAUACCCUUUAGGUAUGAGAGUUCAUAGAGCAAUUUGUAAUUACUUAAAUUUUUUACCCUUUGCAUUGUCCUCCUGCCCCAGUAUAGUAGAUUAUAACUCUUUGAAGGUAAGGCCUUUCUCUUGUUCUCUGAAUCUGUUAAGUGAUGCUGAUUAGAUUAUUUUUCUUGGGAUGCCUUUCUGAGAUCCAUUCCUCUACUGGGUGCUCUCUGCUAUCUUCUCUCCUCCUUUUUCUUUUUCUUUUUUUUUAAAACUACAUUUUUAUUGAUUUCAGAGAGGAAGGGGGAGAGAGAGAGAGAGAGAGAGAGA